rnacentral:rRNA from 1 species
AUGACGAUGUCGUCACCGGCGUCCACCCACCUCCUCCGCCCCGCGCCCGCGGCGCCCCUGCUCCCUCGCCGCGCCUCCGUGCAGCUCUCCCGCGUCGCCGGCGGAGCUGCGCCAAGGAGCAGGAGACGGAGCGGCCGCCUGGCGGUGGUCCGCGCGGCCACCGCGGAGGUGGCCGAGGCCGCCGGCGCCCCCGCCUACACCACCGAGUCCCUCAUCCUAUACUUCAAGGCCGAGGGCACCAUGGAGGAGAGGGCUGUUCCCAAGAUCACCCAGGCCCUCGAGGGGAUGGAUGGCGUCACUGACCUGGAGGUGCUUAUCGAAGAAGGCAUCGGAAGUGUUGUGCCACAUUGUACCAUGAGAAGUGUACUCUGCAAGCACAAGAAAAGACUGCCUUACAAGCAGAGAGAGCAUUAUCGUCAGAUAUUAACGAAGGCGACAACAGUCCAAGCUACCGGGGUCGCCUCAAACCUGGUGGAAGCCAUCCAGGGAGUUGGUUUCAAGCUGCAAACUCUGAGCCUCAGCUUCGAGGACUUUGACAAGGCGGACGCUGCUGCUGCAGUCACAGGAGAAGGAGCAGACGUCCAAGCCAGCGAGUGA